rnacentral:misc_RNA from 1 species
GAUGAAGAACGUAGCGAAAUGCGAUAAGUAAUGUGAAUUGCAGAAUUCAGUGAAUCAUCGAAUCUUUGAACGCACAUUGCGCCCGCCAGUAUUCUGGCGGGCAUGCCUGUUCGAGCCUCAUUACAACCCUCAGGCCCCCGGGCCUGGCGUUGGGGAUCGGCGGAGCCCCCCGUGGGCACACGCCGUCCCCCAAAUGCAGUGGCGGUCCCGCCGCAGCUUCCAUCGCGUAGUAGCUAACACCUCGCGACUGGAGAGCGGCGCGGCCACGCCGUAAAACACCCAACUCUUCUGAAGUUGACCUCGAAUCAGGUAGGAAUACCCGCUGAACUUAAGCAUAUCAAUAAGCGGAGGA